rnacentral:rRNA from 1 species
AGAGUUUGAUCCUGGCUCAGGACGAACGCUGGCGGCGUGCUUAACACAUGCAAGUCGAGCGGAAAGGCCCUUCGGGGUACUCGAGCGGCGAACGGGUGAGUAACACGUGAGCAAUCUGCUUAGCUUCGGGAUAGCUCCGGGAAACCGGAAUUAAUACCGGAUAUGACGUUGCUGACAUCAGCCAUAGUGGAAAGUUUUUC